rnacentral:misc_RNA from 1 species
GAGAAAUCCUUGGUUGAUAAAAGGACCCAUUCUGUAAACAUUCAUUGGUGGAAAGAAAAGGUUCCUGUACCAUCUCUCUUGAUUGUUGCUACCAAUAAGAUUGCUCAGAACCUUCUGAGAUAUUUCCAACUUUUAUUUGGUUUUCACACCUGUAUGUUUUUGGAAUGUUGUUACUGUGCUAUGAGAAUUAGCGUUUUGGAUAAGAAGAUUAGGUUUGAGCAGC